UACGGAGGGUGCAAGCGUUGUCCGGAUUUAUUGGGUUUAAAGGGUGCGUAGGCGGCAGAUUAAGUCAGCGGUGAAAUUCCACAGCUCAACUGUGGAACUGCCAUUGAUACUGGUUUGCUUGAGUACAGAUGAGGUAGGCGGAAUUGACAGUGUAGCGGUGAAAUUCUUAGAUAUUGUCAAGAACACCUAUUGCGAAGGCAGCUUACUAAGCUGUAACUGACGCUGAGGCACGAAAGCGUGGGGAUCAAACAGG
rnacentral:rRNA from 1 species